GAUGAACGCUGGCGGCGUGCCUAAUACAUGCAAGUCGAGCGAACAGACGAGGAGCUUGCUCCUCUGACGUUAGCGGCGGACGGGUGAGUAACACGUGGAUAACCUACCUAUAAGACUGGGAUAACUUCGGGAAACCGGAGCUAAUACCGGAUAAUAUAUUGAACCGCAUGGUUCAAUAGUGAAAGACGGUUUUGCUUUCACUUAUAGAUGGAUCCGCGCCGCAUUAGCUAGUUGGUAAGGUAACGGCUUACCAAGGCAACGAUGCGAAGCCGACCUGAGAGGGAGAACGGAUAGAUGGGCAGUGAGAAAGGGCCGAGACUCUUGCGGGGGGACGCAGCAGGGAAUCCUACGCAAUGGGGGAAAGCGUGACGGAGCAAAGUCGCGUGAGUGAUGAAGGUCCUCGGAUCGGAAAAUUAUGAUAUUCGGGAAGAACAAAUGUGUAAGUAACUAUGCUCGUAUUGACGGUACCUAAUCAGAAAGCCACGGCUAACUCCGUG
rnacentral:rRNA from 1 species